GACGAACGCUGGCGGCGUGCUUAACACAUGCAAGUCGAACGGAAAGGCCCUGCUUUUGUGGGGUGCUCGAGUGGCGAACGGGUGAGUAACACGUGAGUAACCUGCCCUUGACUUUGGGAUAACUUCAGGAAACUGGGGCUAAUACCGGAUAGGAGCUCCUGCUGCAUGGUGGGGGUUGGAAAGUUUCGGCGGUUGGGGAUGGACUCGCGGCUUAUCAGCUUGUUGGUGGGGUAGUGGCUUACCAAGGCUUUGACGGGUAGCCGGCCUGAGAGGGUGACCGGCCACAUUGGGACUGAGAUACGGCCCAGACUCCUACGGUAGGCAGCAGUGGGGAAUAUUGCACAAUGGUCGGAAGCCUGAUGCAGCAACGCCGCGUGCGGGAUGACGGCCUUCGGGUUGUAAACCGCUUUCGCCUGUGACGAAGCGUGAGUGACGGUAAUGGGUAAAGAAGCACCGGCUAACUACGUG
rnacentral:rRNA from 1 species